rnacentral:lncRNA from 1 species
GCGAGGAUGAGAAGGAAAUUGGAGCGGGAGGAGAGAUUAACAUUCAUCACAUACACACAAUGCACCCCUUGCACACAGAAAAACACACAGACACACAUACACAAGCAAUGCAUCCCUUACACACACAGAAACACACAAUGCAUUCAUUACACACACUCAAUGCACCCCUUACACACAUUCAAUGCAUCCCAUACAUACACAGAAACACACCUUGCAGUCCUUACACAUACAAACACAAUUUCACACAAUGCAUUCCUUACACACAUAUCAGGACAUCCCCUACACACUCCACCCCCUGUGAACAAACUCAUUGGUGGAACAUGAAG